AUAGUGUUCCCUUAAGCAAAUUAAAGGACAUUUCUGGUCACCAUAACAACUUCACCUAAAUGAAAAUGCUAUGAUGCCAGGAAGCCCCUGGGUGCUCGCUUUCCUUUAAGGGGUUAAAUCGCUCUCAAAUGGUUUAACCCCAAAGGCUUCCUCCAGCUCCAGGUCGCUCAGUGGUAUUUGGCUUCUGAAACGGAGUGUCAGUAAGUGCAGAUUGACGUCAGGCAUGGGUGCCGCUGAUUGGCCAGAGUGGACAGAUGACGCUCUAAGCCAAUCGCUACUUCCCGGUUCAUAAAAUAUUUUUACUUUUUUAUGAAUGGGGAGCUACUGAUUGGCUUAGAGUGCCAGCUGACC